rnacentral:rRNA from 1 species
GUAGGGUGCGAGCGUUAAUCGGGAAUUACUGGGGCGUAAAGCGUGCGCAGGCGGUUGUGCAAGACAGAUGUGAAAUCCCCGGGGCUCAACCUGGGAAUUGCAUUUGUGACUGUACGGCUAGAGUGUGUCAGAGGGGGGUAGAAUUCCACGUGUAGCAGCGAAAUGCGUAGAGAUGUGGAGGAAUACCGAUGGCGAAGGCAGCCCCCUGGGAUAACACUGACGCUCAUGCACGAAAGCGUGGGGAGCAAACAGGAUUAGAUACCCUGGUAGUCCACGCCCUAAACGAUGUCAACUAGUUGUCGGGUCUUAAUUGACUUGGUAACGCAGCUAACGCGUGAAGUUGACCGCCUGGGGAGUACGGUCGCAAGAUUA